AACGUAGGAGACAAACGUUAUCCGGAGUUACUGGGCGUAAAGGGCGUGUAGGUGGUAGUGUAAGUCUGGCGUGAAAUUUCUCGGCUUAACCGAGGCAGGUCGUCGGAUACUGCGGAACUUGAGGACGGUAGAGGCGUGUGGAAUUCCGGGUGUAGUGGUGAAAUGCGUAGAGAUCCGGAGGAACACCAGUGGCGAAGGCGACACGCUGGGCCGUACCUGACACUGAUGCGCGACAGCAUGGGGAGCAAACAGG
rnacentral:rRNA from 1 species